ACAGAGGUGGCAAGCGUUGUUCGGAAUUACUGGGCGUAAAGGGCGCGUAGGCGGCCAUCUAAGUCAGACGUGAAAUCCCCCGGCUUAACCUGGGAACUGCGUCUGAUACUGGACGGCUUGAGUAUGGGAGAGGGAUGUAGAAUUCCAGGUGUAGCGGUGAAAUGCGUAGAUAUCUGGAGGAAUACCGGUGGCGAAGGCGGCAUCCUGGACCAUUACUGACGCUGAGGCGCGAAAGCUAGGGGAGCAAACGGGA
rnacentral:rRNA from 1 species